AGUAAAAGUCGUAACAAGGUUUCCGUAGGUGAACCUGCGGAAGGAUCAUUACCGAGUUUUGAAAUGGGUUGUAGCUGGCCUUUUUUAAAUCAAAAAAGGUAUGUGCACGCCCUGCUCAUCCACUCUCAAACCUCUGUGCACUUCUGUAGAGCUUGGUGAAAGUUGGUUGAAAGACUGACUGAAUCUGACUCUAUGUCUUUUUAUACAAACGAAUUAGUAUUAGAAUGUCAUUUUGCAUAUAAUGCAUUAUAUAUAUAACUUUCAGCAACGGAUCUCUUGGCUCUCGCAUCGAUGAAGAACGCAGCGAAAUGCGAUAAGUAAUGUGAAUUGCAGAAUUCAGUGAAUCAUCGAAUCUUUGAACGCACCUUGCGCCUCUUGGUAUUCCGAGGGGCAUGCCUGUUUGAGUGUCAUGGAAUUCUCAACCUCUAAGAUUUUUGUUUUAGAAAUAAAAGAACGAUCAAAGAGGCUUGGAUUUGGAGGUUGUGCUGGCUUUCUAGUCGGCUCCUCUUAAAUGUAUUAGUGCGAAACUUAUGGAUCGCUUUUUGGUGUGAUAAUUGUCUACGCCAUGGGUGUGAAGUAUAUUAUAGUUCGUGCUUCUAACAGUCCUUUAUAUAACAAGGACAAUAUAACUCUGACAUCUGGCCUCAAAUCAGGUAGGACUACCCGCUGAACUUAAGCAUAUCAAUAAGCGGAGGAAAAGAAACUAACAAGGAUUCCCCUAGUAACUGCGAGUGAAGCGGGAAAAGCUCAAAUUUAAAAUCUGAUAGUCUUUGGCUGUCCGAGUUGUAAUCUGGAGAAGCGUCUUCCGCGC
rnacentral:rRNA from 1 species